AACAAUACGUAAGAACAAAAUGAUGAAACGUUAGUUAGACGCAUUUUAAAAUGGGGGGUUGAUUUUUGGUGGUGGGUGAAUGGAGUUUAAGUUCUUGGCAACUGAUGAUCUCUAGGUAAACUCUACAAUAAUCCUCUUCAACAGCUACACAAAUAUUAUAUUUUUGUCAUAUUGACAUCAUUAGUAAGUUGCAUAACACUGCUAACAUGGAGGAAAGUGAGAAACACAUUUCUAGUCCUCUUCUAAACCAAGGAAAUGUUUUGUUUACAAUAAACAGUAAUAAACAUAUGUAACAAAGGUGUGAAAAUAAAAGCUGCUUGAUUAUAUUUACUGUACUCUUUUAACAUGGUUUAAAUAAUGAUCCAACAAUAACAAACAUGAUGUAAUGCAGCUACACAAGUAAAUAAAGAGAAAUUCCACACCAAAAACAAAAGUCACUGGAUGUUUAUGUAUUUCUGUUAUGAUUAUGCUCAGUUUUUAUUAUAAACUAAUGUAAUAAGACGCACAAUGCAAUUUUAAAUAAAACACGCUGUACAGUAAGAGCAUAAACAAAAGCAAUAAGCCCGUCAGCACAUCGUUUUUUAAAUAUCCACGUUUUUCAUUUAAACGCGUUAACAAAACACUCACACUGUACAAACAAAAACGGGAAAAAAUAAAGACAUUUGUGUGCAUAUUUCCAACAGCUUAAUUGAUCAUGAAAUGUCUACACAACACUUGCGUUAGUUAAAAAAAAUCGUUGUUUCCAAUAAAGUGACACUCGCGCGCUGCUGUAACUGCACAAACCCCACGCGCGUGUUUUUCAGAGUGACGUAUGCGUCUGCAGCGCGCGAGUAACGAAAAACGACGUUAAAACGUUUCGCUUAUUGUUGCUAAGAAUAGAGAAGUUUAGCCAUUUUUAACACACACGCGUCCUUCGACGUAAACAUCAACGAACGAUAUGGUAACUAGCUAGCCAAGUUAGCGAACGUUUUGUCCAACGAAUAAUCAACAAAUCCGACCAAACUAUUAUUAACGUGAAAAGACACUGUCAUUCAGAGGAAAACUGCUUGGAAAGCAUCGCGUGGGAGGAGCCUGUGGUCGACAGCCCCUUUCCGUGAAUGUGCUCAGUCACGUCUUUUGUGGAUGGAUCAGUGAACCCCUUACAAGCAUCUCAUGCCAGCUGACAGCUUGACAAGGCCGAUGGGUGGAGAAAGGGCCCUUUCUUUACCUUAGAUCUGUCACCCACCAUCAGAGAACCAACAGUGCUACUCUCUUCUGCAAUGCGGAGUCUUGUGUCACGGCAGCUGAUGUGAUUGUGAAAAAUGAGGUCUUAAAAUGCGCCCCGCAGAGCUGGCGGAUUCGGAGAGCCUUUGAAAUGUACUGUCGUGGUGCUACAUUCAUCUCCCAAGUUCACAAUUAAAACCCACUGCUUGCAGGCUGAGGAGAACAUAGAGGAACGCUCAAUGUGAGCCAUCUGCGAGCAUCACGCCGGCAAGGAGCGAACGCCCCCCGCCCUGCAAGAGCAAGAAAGGAAAUCAAUACAGGUUUGGAACAACUUGAGGCGAACUUGACCAAUGUUAACAAAAGGGGAUAUUUUCAUGCGUUGUUUUGCCAAUGGACAUCAUUUCAACUACUUGUAAUGAUCUAAAUCUGAGAUAUCCCAGUCUGUUAUUAAAAUAUAAAGUCAUCCAGCUGAGACUCACUCAUGGAGGUCAUCUGCUAGCCUUCACCUGCGUCAUUCAACAAGUACAGUACACUCAAAACCGCAACCUUUCCAAAACAGUUUUUAUGUUCAUAUUAUUUAUGGCUCUGGCUUUGACCACGUGGCCAUGUUUUCAACAGUCUUUAUAUUCAAAUAAACAGCAGGUUUCUAGGCAGCAGAGAGAUGAUGAAGGUGCUACCUGAUGUCUACCGACCCGAUGGAAAAACAACACAAAAAGAGCCAUGAAAGCAAGAUUGUGCCUUUUUCCUCACGGUCUAGUCCAGACAGAAGGGCCGUCUGGAAUGCAAUGUGUUGGCCAUCUGCAGACGGAUGUUCAUAGCUGCUCUCCAAAGACCAAACACUCGGCUGAGAAAGGCAACAUCUGAACGCUGGAUGGUGGCAGCUGCCCAAUUUUGUCGUUUUCUUGCCAGAGAAAAGUUUUAUUGCGGAGAGGUUGCUCUUGUAGAGCUCUGGGGACUUUAUUAAGUUCCUAAUUAUGUUUCAUUAGAUGUAUUAAAAAUUCUGAUCUAAUAUUCCUUUUGUAAAAUAAAUUAGACACAGUUGAGACUGUUUUUAAAUUCAAUAUUAGAAUGAAAUGUUAUUAAAGAAAGAGCUUUUACAUUUAUACGGAUAGCUUAUUGACUUUCGAUUGUAGUGUUUGGUAUCUUUACAAACCUAAACACAAUUUGUGAGAAUGUUAAGAUCUCUUAUGAAGACACAUGUGAGAUCAGGUAAAAAAUCAAAAUCUGUUCUCCAUUACAGACUGACCUUCUGAAACCAUAUUUCGUGAUUUUUAUUUUGUUGCCAUAAAUAAGUCUUAUUAUUCUCCCUUUAUGUUUGUCACCAGGUUUUGCAAAUAUCU